GGCUCGGAGGAUCGCACCGGCGAACGGCGGCGCGGAGCGCCCGGGCGGCGCUCGGGAGAGCCAUGGGCACGGCGGGGCCGCCGCCCGCCGCCGCCUUAAGUACGGCCCGCGCGGGACCGCCCCUGGGCUCUGCUCCACGGCCCCGCUCCGCCCCGCCUUUGGCCGCGCUCUGCUGCCGCCGGAACCGGCCCCGCGGCCCGGCGCUGCCCCGGCACCGACACCGGCACUGGGACAGCGACUGAUUCUGAGAUCGGCACCGGCCCGGCAGCGGGACUGGGAAUAGGACUGGCACUGGCAUCGAGACAGGCAUCAGCACCGCCAGGGGGUUGGGAACUGGGAUCGGGAUCGCCACUGGGACUGGGACUAAUUCCGGGACUGGCACCGACACGAGGACAGGGACCGGCAGUGGAACUGGGAACGGGACCGGCACCGAGACCGGCGCUGGAACCGAAACCGGAAGGGGCACCAGGACUCCGACCUGGACAGGAACCGGGACCAGCACCGGUACCGGGAUUGGCACUGGGAUCGGAACUACGAGCAAGACCAAUGCUGGCAUAGGUACCGGGUAGGGGAUAGGAACCGGGACUGGCAAGGUCACCGGGACCAGCACCAGGACUGGAGCCACCCUGCCCAGUGCACCCCGCUCCCCCAGCCCCCUGCCCGGUGCCUUCCCCAGUCCCAUCCCCUCGAAGCAGCCGGUCCCAGGGGCACCUCCCUCCCCGAAAGCCCCAGGUAGGGCCUGGAGGGGCAGGUGCCCCUGGGCUCGAGGGGAGUCCUGGGUGGGGCCUGAAGGGAACUCUGUUCUUGGAGCGCUGCUGGGAGCGGGGCAAAGAGGAGCUCAUGCCCUUGGAGGAGCCUUGGGAAAAUUGUGAAGGUCCCAAGGGAGCCCUGAAGGGGACCUGUGGGAAGCACUGGGGCCAAUCCUGCGGGGCCAAGGGGCUACUGACUGCUCAGGCAGCCCCAGCGAGGGCCAAAGGAUGCAUCAAAGGGUGUUUGCUCCCUCGUAGCCAUCCCUGGGGCAGGCUGUGGUAUGUCCAGCCUUGGGAACUGGAAACACAUUGAGAAGGGAUCUCAGACCUGCGGGACCUGUUAUGGGAGAGAUGUUUCAAGCCCCUGUACUUGCUCCUGUCCUCCUGAUGGGUGUGUGAACAUUUUAGGAGUUUCAGCUGAAUCCUCAUUCAUUUGGUGGGGUCCAUGGGUGCUUGGGUUGCUUGAGGCAGGAGACUUGGCUCCCUCAUCAUGGGCUGGGGCUGUUGGGCUUCGCCUGCUCCACGGAGCACCGGAGAGGGCUGGCAGGACCUCGGGAUCUUCCCAGGCAGGGCGAGUGCCUGUCCUUCUUGUGGCAGGCGUUUGCCUGAGCUGUUCCUCCCCGGCGCACCCAGUGCUGAGCUCCGGAGAUUACCGAGCACAUCCCUGACACCCCACGUCCAGGAAUGCUCCUGAGAGCUGGCCUGGGAGAUCAGAGAGUCCUUCUCUUUUUCCAUCCACUGGCAGAUGGGAGUCAUGUGAGAUGUCCACAAGUGUGCCUGGGGGAAAAGGAAUGCCAGUGAAGACCUGAAACAAUUUUGCUGCUCUUACAGCUGAGAAAGGAUCAUGCUGUAAAGUUUCUGUGGAAGUGGGUCCUGGGAAAUGGACAUGAAAAGCCUUUUUUUCCGGCUGACUCCCUUGGCGGGCCAAAGUAAUUUUCUCUCAUUAGAGCUGCUGAUACAACUGGAAGAAGUGAGUUCUUUCUCCAAAGCUUCAUCUGCCAGUGAGGGGCAGCAUCCCCCCAGAAAAUCUUGGGGUGUUUGGCUGUCCCAGCUUCUCGUCCCUCUGGCUCUUUGCACUGGAACUUGGAAAGAAAAAUAUUCUGGGAUGGAAAAUUUCAAGCCUAAAGGGUAAAGUUGGACAAAAUCCAGGUGAGACUUGGCAGAGAGACCCAGCAAAGGUUGUUCCUUGUGCUGACAUUUUUGCUCUGUGCUUUGGAGAGCCUCCCUGCAGCUCUGCUCCAGCCAGGUCAGGCUCUGCUCGUGUAAGAGGUUUUGUUAACACCACCACAUAUGACUUUCUCUGGGUUUUCCCUAUUUAUUUAUUUAUUUAUUUAUUUAUUUAUUUCUUUAUUGUCUCUGGAGCUGUGAAUAUUGCAGAAGCAGACACUGCAGUGGUCUUACAUCCUGUGGGGAUGGCUGUCCCAUCAGCCCACCCCGCUCCCAGAGGUGGCCCAGAGGCUUUGAACCUCUGGCUGCCUGUCCACAGCAGGCACUGCACAUCUGUGGUAGCACCAGAACACCCUGACACAGCCCACUAAAUCAUCUGAUGGAAAUGAGGAGCUGGGAUCUUGUUGAAGCUCUGGUUACUGGAAACCAAAAGCAAAGAGCGACUGUAUCUGUGCUGGCUCUGGGAUGCACAUGAGGGUGCUUUGAACAAGGGACCUGCUGGAGACUGCUCUGACUCCUUCUCCCUCCUGUGAGUUCUUCCACUCAGGUCUUGCCAGAGUGUGCCAACCCAUCCCUGCAAGGCUGGAGGAGCUCUGCAGGAGGACCUUCAUGGGCUGUGCUGAGUCCUGGGCUCCUCUGCACCAGGAAGGACCCCACAGCACUCCUUGGGGACGCCAUGAGUCACUGAGAAUGUUCUGAAUGUUCUGGCCAGGUGCUGAGGCCAAAGGCCUCAAAAUUCACCUGUGGAGAAACAAGAAGAUUAGAUCUGACUCAUUCCAAAAGUUUAAACCAUUUUUGUGUUACUAAAAACUUGCCUUUAUGCUCUAGGUAUUUUUUUUCCAAAAAAGAGAAAGACAGCAAAUUCAAGGUAAAAAAAAGCAAUUUGAAGAUGAGAGAUGAAUCUGCUUUGCCAUAAAUUUGGAGAAGUCAUCACCAAAUCUGGUGUGGGGUUGCUGUCCUCUCCUUCCCUCCAGGGAGCACUGUGGCAUCUCCUUUCCCCUGGAUUUUCCCUGUUCUAGAGAGAACGGAUUGGUGUUUCUUACCCAGAAACAGAAAUACAGCUCCAACAACCU